AGAGUUUGAUUAUGGCUCAGGAUGAACGCUAGCUACAGGCUUAACACAUGCAAGUCGAGGGGCAGCAUUGGGGUAGCAAUACUUCAGAUGGCGACCGGCGCACGGGUGAGUAACACGUAUCCAACCUGCCGCUUACUCGGGGAUAGCCUUUCGAAAGAAAGAUUAAUACCCGAUGGUAUAAAGAGUUCGCAUGUUCUCUUUAUUAAAGAAUUUCGGUAAGCGAUGGGGAUGCGUUCCAUUAGAUAGUUGGCGGGGUAACGGCCCACCAAGUCUACGAUGGAUAGGGGUUCUGAGAGGAAGGUCCCCCACAUUGGAACUGAGACACGGUCCAAACUCCUACGGGAGGCAGCAGUGAGGAAUAUUGGUCAAUGGACGAGAGUCUGGACCAGCCAAAGUAGCGUGAAGGAUGACUGCCCUAUGGGUUGUAAACUUCUUUUAUAAGGGAAUAAAGUGAGGGACGUGUCCCUUUUUGUAUGUACCUUAUGAAUAGGGAUCGGCUAACUCCGUGCCAGCCGCGGC
rnacentral:rRNA from 1 species